UACGGAAGGCAGCAGUGGGGAAUAUUGCACAAUGGGCGAAAGCCUGAUGCAGCUAUGCCGCGUGUAUGAAGAAGGCCUUCGGGUUGUAAAGUACUUUCAGUCGUGAGGAAGGUGUUAAGGUUAAUAACCUUAGCAAUUGACGUUAGCGACAGAAGAAGCACCGGCUAACUCCGUGCCAGCAGCCGCGGUAAUACGGAGGGUGCGAGCGUUAAUCGGAAUUACUGGGCGUAAAGGGCACGCAGGCGGUUAAUUAAGUUGGAUGUGAAAUCCCCGGGCUUAACCUGGGAAUGGCAUUCAAGACUGGUUAGCUAGAGUCUUGUAGAGGGGGUAGAAUUCCAUGUGUAGCGGUGAAAUGCGUAGAGAUGUGGAGGAAUACCGGUGGCGAAGGCGGCCCCUGGACAAAGACUGACGCUCAUGUGCGAAAGCGUGGGGAGCAAACAGGGAUUAGAUACCCGU
rnacentral:rRNA from 1 species